GAAAAUCAAGGCUGAGGCGUGAUGACGAGGCACUACGGUGCUGAAGCAACAAAUGCCCUGCUUCCAGGAAAAGCCUCUAAGCAUCAGGUAACAUCAAAUCGUACCCCAAACCGACACAGGUGGUCAGGUAGAGAAUACCAAGGCGCUUGAGAGAACUCGGGUGAAGGAACUAGGCAAAAUGGUGCCGUAACUUCGGGAGAAGGCACGCUGACACGUAGGUGAAGUGAUUUACUCACGGAGCUGAAGUCAGUCGAAGAUACCAGCUGGCUGCAACUGUUUAUUAAAAACACAGCACUGUGCAAACACGAAAGUGGACGUAUACGGUGUGACGCCUGCCCGGUGCCGGAAGGUUAAUUGAUGGGGUCAGCGCAAGCGAAGCUCCUGAUCGAAGCCCCGGUAAACGGCGGCCGUAACUAUAACGGUCCUAAGGUAGCGAAAUUCCUUGUCGGGUAAGUUCCGACCUGCACGAAUGGCGUAAUGAUGGCCAGGCUGUCUCCACCCGAGACUCAGUGAAAUUGAACUCGCUGUGAAGAUGCAGUGUACCCGCGGCAAGACGGAAAGACCCCGUGAACCUUUACUAUAGCUUGACACUGAACAUUGAGCCUUGAUGUGUAGGAUAGGUGGGAGGCUUUGAAGUGUGGACGCCAGUCUGCAUGGAGCCGACCUUGAAAUACCACCCUUUAAUGUUUGAUGUUCUAACGUGGACCCGUAAUCCGGGUUGCGGACAGUGUCUGGUGGGUAGUUUGACUGGGGCGGUCUCCUCCUAAAGAGUAACGGAGGAGCACGAAGGUUGGCUAAUCCUGGUCGGACAUCAGGAGGUUAGUGCAAUGGCAUAAGCCAGCUUGACUGCGAGCGUGACGGCGCGAGCAGGUGCGAAAGCAGGUCAUAGUGAUCCGGUGGUUCUGAAUGGAAGGGCCAUCGCUCAACGGAUAAAAGGUACUCCGGGGAUAACAGGCUGAUACCGCCCAAGAGUUCAUAUCGACGGCGGUGUUUGGCACCUCGAUGUCGGCUCAUCACAUCCUGGGGCUGAAGUAGGUCCCAAGGGUAUGGCUGUUCGCCAUUUAAAGUGGUACGCGAGCUGGGUUUAGAACGUCGUGAGACAGUUCGGUCCCUAUCUGCCGUGGGCGCUGGAGAACUGAGGGGGGCUGCUCCUAGUACGAGAGGACCGGAGUGGACGCAUCACUGGUGUUCGGGUUGUCAUGCCAAUGGCACUGCCCGGUAGCUAAAUGCGGAAGAGAUAAGUGCUGAAAGCAUCUAAGCACGAAACUUGCCCCGAGAUGAGUUCUCCCUGAGACUUUAGGUCUCCUGAAGGAACGUUGAAGACGACGACGUUGAUAGGCCGGGUGUGUAAGCGCAGCGAUGCGUUGAGCUAACCGGUACUAAUGAACCGUGAGGCUUAACCUUACAACGCCGAAG
rnacentral:rRNA from 1 species